GACGAACGCUGGCGGCGUGCCUAACACAUGCAAGUCGAACGGGGUACCUUCGGGUACUUAGUGGCGAACGGGUGGGUAACGCGUGAGGAACCUACCCUCCAGUGGGGACGAACAGUUGGAACGACUGCUAAUACCGCAUAACACAACGAGACCGCGUGAUCUUGUUGCCAAAGACUUUAUGUGCUGGAAGAUGGCCUCGCGUCUGAUUAGCUAGUUGGUGGGGUAACGGCCUACCAAGGCGACGAUCAGUAGCCGGACUGAGAGGUUGAACGGCCACAUUGGGACUGAGAUACGGCCCAG
rnacentral:rRNA from 1 species